rnacentral:rRNA from 1 species
AGUGAACGCUGGCGGUAGGCCUAACACAUGCAAGUCGAACGGCAGCACAGUAAGAGCUUGCUCUUACGGGUGGCGAGUGGCGGACGGGUGAGGAAUACAUCGGAAUCUACUUUUUCGUGGGGGAUAACGUAGGGAAACUUACGCUAAUACCGCAUACGACCUACGGGUGAAAGCAGGGGAUCUUCGGACCUUGCGCGAUUGAAUGAGCCGAUGUCGGAUUAGCUAGUUGGCGGGGUAAAGGCCCACCAAGGCGACGAUCCGUAGCUGGUCUGAGAGGAUGAUCGGCCGCACUGGAACGGAGACACGGUCCAGACUCCUGCGGGAGGCAGCAGUGGGGAAUAGUGGACAAUGGGCGCAAGCCUGGUCCAGCCAUACCGCGUGGGUGAAGAAGGCCUUCGGGUUGUAAAGCCCUUUUGUUGGGAAAGAAAAGCAGCAGGUUAAUACCCCGCUGUUCUGACGGUACCCAAAGAAUAAGCACCGGCUAACUUCGUG